CCUACGGGCGGCAGCAGUCGAGAAUUAUUCACAAUGGGGGAAACCCUGAUGGUGCGACGCCGCGUGGGGGAAUGAAGGUCUUCGGAUUGUAAACCCCUGUCAUGUGGGAGCAAAUUAAAAAGAUAGUACCACAAGAGGAAGAGACGGCUAACUCUGUGCCAGCAGCCGCGGUAAUACAGAGGUCUCAAGCGUUGUUCGGAAUCACUGGGCGUAAGGCGUGCGUAGGCUGUUUCGUAAGUCGUGUGUGAAAGGCGCGGGCUCAACCCGCGGACGGCACAUGAUACUGCGAGACUAGAGUAAUGGAGGGGGAACCGGAAUUCUCGGUGUAGCAGUGAAAUGCGUAGAUAUCGAGAGGAACACUCGUGGCGAAGGCGGGUUCCUGGACAUUAACUGACGCUGAGGCACGAAGGCCAGGGGAGCGAAAGGGAUUAGAUACCCGAGUAGUC
rnacentral:rRNA from 1 species